rnacentral:rRNA from 1 species
AAUGUUGGGUUUAAGUCCCCGCCAACGAGCGCAAACCCUUAUCCUUUUGUUGCCCAGCGGUUAGGCCCGGGAACUCAAAGGAGACUGCCAGUGAUAAACUGGAGGAAGGUGGGGAUGACGUCAAGUCAUCAUGGCCCUUACGACCAGGGCUACACACGUGCUACAAUGGCGCAUACAAAGAGAAGCAAUCUCGCGAGAGCCAGCGGACCUCAUAAAGUGCGUCGUAGUCCGGAUUGGAGUCUGCAACUCGACUCCAUGAAGUCGGAAUCGCUAGUAAUCGUGAAUCAGAAUGUCACGGUGAAUACGUUCCCGGGCCUUGUACACACCGCCCGUCACACCAUGGGAGUGGGUUGCAAAAGAAGUAGGUAGCUUAACCUUCGGAGGGCGCUACCAC